AGCAGUAGCCGCGGUAAUACGUAGGUCCCGAGCGUUGUCCGGAUUUAUUGGGCGUAAAGGGAGCGCAGGCGGUUUAGUAAGUCUGAAGUUAAAGGCAUUGGCUCAACCAAUGUAUGCUUUGGAAACUGUUGGACUUGAGUGCUGAAGGGGAGAGUGGAAUUCCACGUGUAGCGGUGAAAUGCGUAGAGAUGUGGAGGAACACCAGUGGCGAAGGCGACUCUCUGGUCUGUAACUGACGCUGAGGAGCGAAAGCGUGGGGAGCGAACAGGAUUAGAUACCCGUGUAGUCCCUGUCUCUUAUACA
rnacentral:rRNA from 1 species